rnacentral:rRNA from 1 species
AACGAACGCUGGCGGCAGGCUUAACACAUGCAAGUCGAGCGCCCCGCAAGGGGAGCGGCAGACGGGUGAGUAACGCGUGGGAAUCUACCCAUCUCUACGGAAUAACUAAUGGAAACUUGUGCUAAUACCGUAUACGCCCCUUGGGGGUAAGAUUUAUCGGAGAUGGAUGAGACCGAGUUGGAUGAGUUAGUUGGUGGGGUAAUGGCUUAUCAGGGCGACGAUCCAUAGCUGGUCUGAGAGGAUGAUCAGCCACACUGGGACCGAGACACGGCCCAGACUCCUACGAGAGGCAGCAGUGGGGAAAAUUGGACAAUGGGCGAAAGCGUGAUCCAGCCAUGCCGCGUGAGUGAUGAAGGCCUUAGGGUUGUAAAGCUCUUUCAGUAGUGAAGAUAAUGACGGUACCUACAGAAGAAGCCCCGGCUAACUUCGUGCCAGCAGCCGCGGUAACAC